UUCCCCGACUGAUUCUUAUAAUUUAUUUAAAAAAUGAAAAUUAUGAGUUUAGGUCACACUAAGGUUCAGAUAUAAAUUGAAUAUGUUAGAGGAUUGGGACAACGUGAAAUAAGGCAUUACAAGCUCGUAUAUCAUCAGUUAUGAGUGUUAUUUAUAACUACAGAGCAAUACUGUUGUACAUAUUUGAAAGGAACAGUCGAAGAUUAGCAUCAUUCAAGGACUGCAUCUUGGAUCAAUUUGGCUAUAAGGAUGUGAAUGGACUAGUUGCAAUUAAACAAGACAUUGCAGCUGAUUCAAUUCUUAUUUGCAAAGCAUCAUCAUCAGAAACUGAAGCACUGAGGAAAGAUGGAUGGACUGUAUCACUUCUUCAGCACAACACCUGCUGUCCGGUGCUGUACAUGACGCCGCGCGUGCGCGACUCCUGCCGCCGGAGAUCGCCGGCCGAGGCGUCAACGUCGGCAUCUGCGUGAUGGUGGAGAGCGCCGACCGGGCCGUGCUGCUCACCUGCCGGUCGGCGCACAUGCGCACCUUCGCCGGCGCCUGGGUGCCGCCCGGCGGUC